ACGGGAGGCAGCAGUGAGGAAUAUUGGUCAAUGGGCGAGAGCCUGAACCAGCCAAGUCGCGUGAAGGAUGAAGGUUCUAUGGAUUGUAAACUUCUUUUGUUCGAGGGUAAAGUGAGGGAUGCGUCCCUUAUUGCAAGUAUCGAACGAAUAAGCAUCGGCUAACUCCGUGCCAGCAGCCGCGGUAAUACGGAGGAUGCGAGCGUUAUCCGGAUUUAUUGGGUUUAAAGGGUGCGUAGGCGGGAUGUUAAGUCAGCGGUGAAAGCGUGUAGCUCAACUAUACCAAGCCGUUGAAACUGGCGUUCUUGAGUGUAAACGAGGUAGGCGGAAUGUGACGUGUAGCGGUGAAAUGCUUAGAUAUGACGAAGAACUCCGAUUGGGAAGCCAGCUUACUGUAGCGCCACUGACGCUGAUGCUCGAAAGCGUGGGUAUCGAACAGGAUUAGAUACCCUGGUA
rnacentral:rRNA from 1 species